GGGUGAUUUAAACCGGCAUUGAAGCUUGCACUGAUUUGCCCACGCACCGGCAAUUAAUUAUGAAUGGAGGUAGAUGCUGAAGGCGAUGGUACAUCCAGCACUCUAUCUCUCACUCACGGGCGAUGGCGAGGCGGUCUUACACAAAUGGUCUCAAGGGAUCUCCAAUCAGGCAAGCAGUCGUGGAGGUGAGCACAGCUCGACCCGUGUUACAUUUGGUGGAGCACUCCUGGAGGCACGGGGAGGUAGUCUCAGCACACCGAGUUCGAGCAUGGCGGCAGCGGGGAGAACCAUGGUGAGGUUGCAGUGCAGCCAUAACUUCCGGCUCGGUAAGAAGUUAUGCAUGUACCACAAAUCUUCAAUUGAUUCGAUUUUAAGGUUCUGUCUGCCUCUUUUCCCAAUGGUUUAUCCGACACCGACAGCCAUGGAUUUUUCCUAGGUAGCCAGCCUCAUGCGGUUAGUGCGGAUCUGCCAUGUAUGCGGGGGCACCCUCCCCCGUUCUCUUCCAAUAAAUUGCUCUUGAUGUUCAAGUAUGUAAUUAGUAUGUAUUUUUUUCCUAGGUCUUUAUAUUUCUGCAUUAAUCCCUUGAAUAUGCUUUGUGGUUGUCAGUUGAUCUUUGGCUGCAUGUGAACCAAAUCCAUUCAGCUACAUAUAUUUUUCUUACCUCUUGAUCUGAUCACCGCCUCCUCGAGUAUGCUGAUUUCCCCUCUGCUGGCCGGCUGAUCGGAGCGGCAUACUUUCCGCCUUUCUCUGGCUUUGUAUCUGUGUUCUCUCAAUUAACUCCCGAGAUACUGAGCUUGACAGUGUUCACUUCCACAAUUACGUGUUGCUGACUUCAGAACUGGGAGGUGCCGUAGAUACGCCAGGUUGUUGCGCCAUCCAGAGUAUUUGAAUGUGAAUUAGGACAAAGAGCUAUAUGUGAUGAUACAGAUUUAUUUUUGAAGGUAUUUUACACAAGAGGUAUUCUCAAUUUUUUGUUGGGUCGUGUGCGUUCCAAGAGGGAAGUAAUAUUUUGCUAUGAGAGCAGUACGAGAUGCAUAGUGGAUCAUGAUGUUAGAAAAUUCUUCUUAACGUUAAACAUGUAAAUAUGGACGGAAGUGCUAUUAUUAUGAGAGCAAUGCAAAAGCAAACAUUCUCUUGUUUUGUCA